rnacentral:misc_RNA from 1 species
UACGGAGGCUCCAAGCGUUGUUCGGAAUUAUUGGGCGUAAAGCGCUCGCAGGCGGUCUUUUAAGUCUGAUGUGAAAGCCCACGGCUCAACCGUGGAGGGUCAUUGGAAACUGGGAGACUUGAGUACAGAAGAGGAAAGUGGAAUUCCACGUGUAGCGGUGAAAUGCGUAGAGAUGUGGAGGAACACCAGUGGCGAAGGCGACUCUCUGGUCUGUAACUGACGCUGAGGCGCGAAAGCGUGGGGAGCAAGCAGG